ACUCGAACCAGGCAAGUGAGAAGAAAUAAAACUUCCUGAGUUGGGAGGAACACAGGCCCUGUGGACCAGGAGUCGCUGGAAGCUUCUGGAGCAGAAGGGCUCAGCCCUGCAAGGGCCACUGAGGCCAGGAGGGUGGCUUCGCAGGAAGAGGAAGGACAUUCAGGCUUAGAGCACAAAUCCCAGGUGAUCCUGGAGAGCAUCUCUGGUUCUGUUCUCGUCUGUGUUUCCUACGUGUUGCGCUGGGGACAGCCAGGCACAGUGUUGCGGAUCUGUGUGAAUGGGCAACUAGAGAUCACGCAUUUUAUCACUCAUGUCCAAAGUGCUUAAAAGUUACUUUGCUGAUUUAACGUGGAAAGCGUCCAGGAUGGACUUCCUGUGACCGAUCUGACGGGGGCAGGUGUUUACCUGUGUCCAUGCAUCACUCUUCAGACGUGUUCUCCGUGUGCGUAAUGGAUCCGACACGUUGUCGUGUCUCCUACAAGAGUGGGCAGUUGUGUUCCAUGUACGUUUC
rnacentral:lncRNA from 1 species